GGAAGCGGUGCCGGUGCUGGAAGAGGUUGGAGCGGGACCGGUAUAAGAGCAGAAGCGGUGCCGGUGCCGAGAGGCUCUGGAGCUGCACCGGAGCAGAAGCGGUGCCGACAGCUGAGGGUCAACAAGGAAUACUGUUCAGAAGACGCGAAUGUGGGCUUCCUCAGCUCUGCUGCUGACAGAACUCCUUUUUCCCUUUUCCUUUCUGAACGUGGGAGUCUUGGGGGACUUGCUAGCUCUCAUUUCUUAUAUUAGAACCAUCAAGUUUGCCGGGAGACACUUUGAGGAACAGGGAAGUGGCUCACAGAUGGCAUUGCGGAAUUGGGAAACCUGAGCCCCCGUGGAGGAAAUGCUUCAUGUUGUUUGUUCAUGUCAACCUGUCCCAUGGCAACACCCAACCAAGACCUGAAGCUCUUCAUAAAGCUUGUCUGCUCUUUGAGUGGGGUAAAACUUUCGACACCAGCUCUUCGGUCAACUCGUGGAGCGAGCACGUGAGCCAAGACUCAUCUGAGCACACAGGGCUGAAUGAACGGGCUCUGAGCUGGAACUGCCCCUCCAGAAGCCGAUGCGGAGCUGGAGCGUGAGGCACAUCACCCCGGCUGGGGCGUGAUGGCUUUGCAGCAGGGGUCUGACCCAGUUCCCGUCCUCUGUGCCACAGGGCGAGCGGCUGGUUGCUCGCUGCCCUGAGCAGCCUGGUUCUCAUCUGCAUCACGGGGAUGCGCACCUUUUGCUCUGCCAGCCUUGGGGAGGAAGCAGCAAAGGAUAAGACCCCGCGUGCGGGUUGGCUGUCGGCUGACUGCCCUCCGCUAACCCCUGGUCAAUGAGUACCUCGUCAUGUGGGCUGCAAAGUCAGCAGCAGCUCAGUGUGACGUUAGCCAUCACGCUCCCUUUAUGCCACUGGCUGCAGAGACCGGCACGCUGUCCGUGCAGCCCGGCCAGGCUCUGGCACGCGUCUGACUUCUAUCCUCACCCUUCCCUUCCAUUUAAAGGGGAGAUGUCUCCAGGGAAGGAGAUGUCUCAAACACUUUUGUGCCAUCCCCAGCACAGUGCAGUCCUCAGCACAACAACUCCUGUCACAUAUUUUACACCACAGCUAAAAGUUCACUUUAAAACAAAAGGCAGAAGAGAUCCCCAGCACAAGCCAAGCUGCUUAGGGAGAGGAAGCCCCCAAACUGGAGAUGGAUGAAGAAACCAGCUCUAACGGAGAGAAUGAUGUGCAAAGGGCCAGGAUGUUACAAGCCAUUAAUGGACAGAGACAAGAGCUCAGUGGCCAUAUCACGCGAGCUGUUUAUUGGUGCGUAACAUCCCUCAUCAACAUGAAUUACAAUAAUCAAUGUGCCAAGGAAGGGUUUGCUGUAAGCCUGAGAGGGAUGGCUUUGUGAGAAGGCUGUGAAGAGGGUGAACACCCCACUGCUGCACCAGCAGGGAUUCCCAGACAUGCGCGUCCAAAGACUGUCCGGGAGGGGAGCUGCGAUGCAGUGUGAUGGAUGUUCACCAGCAUGUGGGACAAGAACCCAGGACAUCCCCCCUGGCAGGCUGGCGUGGUACUAAGGAGGCUGUACGUGGUGUGACGGGGAUGGGGCUGUUCCACCAAUAACAGCCCAAAGCAAAUUGUCUCUGAAUGUGUGCUCUGGGAAGGGCAACGUGGGCUGAGGUCGCUGGCACUGCACUUGGCACCCACCAGCAGAUGCCUCUGUGAUGCGGAGCAGCCCAUUUGCAAGGCUGUGCCCACAGGGUGUUUUUCAAACACGCCAAAUUAAUGGCUGAGCAAAGGCAGGCGCGCUUGGGGUUUUGUGAUUUUCUUUUUUUUUUUUUUCUUUCGUGAAAUUACUUUGGGUUCUGGAGUUGUUUUUUUGCCUUUGCUAUUGUGAUGCUGAAAUCACACAGCCUCACGGAGUUCCGUGGGAAAUCAGGUGUGAAAAUGGGCUCAUUGUAGCUAGGAGGGUUGCGUUAAAAAAUGGGUCUGGCUGGGAAACCACAAGACUUUGUGUAAGGCCAUGGCUGUGAUCACCUCAGCUCGUGCUGGGGGAGACUUUUCCCAGCGUAUCCUUCUCCUCCUCCUUCAGUUAUGCAAUUUCUAGUGUGCCCCUUGCCAGGAGAGUGCUGGGCUGCAGCCGGCAGCUGCUCUCCCUUGUGAUAAAACGGCAUCCUUUGAAGAUCCACAGGCUGUGCUUCCUCACCCCAGGCUGUCUGCUGUCACCUUCCUGCAAACAGCACCUCAGCCCAGCUGCGCAUCUGGCUGGAGAGAGGGCAUGGCCGGCUGCGCGCUGGGACCGAGCAGGGCUGAGAUGCAGAUAACCCGGGGUGACGGCUCUGAGCUCUUCAUGCCCUUGGCAGAGUCCUAGGGCUUCCUCUAGGCAGAAGCAACCCUGUUUCUGCUGUACCCCAGGAGAUCACGCGCUUUCCUCACCCCUCCUGAAGAGCUGCCUCCAGAAGCAAACCUCAGCUGGGUUCCUUUGCUCAGCCAGGGGAAAACGGUCCCUCUCUUACAGGUUGCAAGCGGCACGCAGGCUGGAGUGAUUUUCAGGAGCAGCAGGGAAAGCAGCAGCAUCCUGAGCAGCAUUUUAAUCACAGACCCAAGGGGUUUGCUAGGGCUGCUCCUCUCCAGAACCUUCCUUGUCAGCAAACACCACUGCAGAGAUGUGAGAGAGGGGCCACGGGAUGCCAAGGGGUUGGUACAGCCUUGGGGAGAGCAGUCCCAGCCCCGCGCCGAUGCAAGGGCAAGCGCAGGGUGUAAGACUCCACUGUGCACCCCUCGUCCCAGUGCAAACCUGUCUGAGGACGGGGCUACAGGAGCACUGCAUGGGUGGAUGCAGAGCUAGAGCCCAGCACCGGCUGGCUUGUAGCACUCCACCCUGCCCCAGGCAUGCUCCCUGCGUGGCUCCUGGCCAGACGCAUUAAAUCCUCCUGUUUCUCUCUCUCGCAUGGUGAGGCCCCAGCAGGGACGCUCCAUCCAGUCCUGGACGCCAGCUUCAGGAGAGGACGGAGAGCCCAGGGCGGCUGUGAGGACAGCCAGAGGGCUGGCAGACCCACCUUGGGAGGAGACCAAGGCAGGUCAAGGUGUUCAGCCUCGAGGGCAAAAAGCUGAGCAGAGGGGACAGCAGCCUCCAAAUGCAUGGAAGUGGAAGAAAGCAGCCUGUCCUCUGUUAUAGCCCCAUGAAACAUCCUAUAAGAACACACAAUUUUUGCUGUUAAGCUCCUAACCCCAUUUCUUACCCCUCCAAAACUGGGGCGCAGCCCUUCUCGCCUGUCCCACCACACAUGCAGCACCCUGCAUAGAGGCAGGAGCUCACCUUACGCAGUCUCCAGGCUGCAGCAGCUGGAGCCAAAUCCAAAGUGGAAGUUGUUUGGCUGUGCUCAGCAGGGAGGUGAGUGGAGCAAAGAUGUCAAAAUGCACAAAGCAGUGAUGCACCGGGCCCGGUAAGAGCCAGUUAAGACAGAUGCAGCCACCAAACAGCGCUCUACCAAGUAGGCAUCACUGUCUCCCUCGAGAGAGAUCCAGAGAGCCGAUCUGCAGCCCAGUGCACUCACAUAAGAGUCCUGACAAUCCCAGUAAAUACAGAAAAUAUAUUAAAGCUGACAGCUUAGACUGGAGCAUUAGAGAAAUGGCAGCAACACGAAU